GAUGAACGCUGGCGGCGUGCCUAAUACAUGCAAGUCGAGCGAACAGACGAGGAGCUUGCUCCUCUGAUGUUAGCGGCGGACGGGUGAGUAACACGUGGAUAACCUACCUAUAAGACUGGGAUAACUUCGGGAAACCGGAGCUAAUACCGGAUAAUAUGUUGAACCGCAUGGUUCAACAGUGAAAGACGGUUUUGCUGUCACUUAUAGAUGGAUCCGCGCCGCAUUAGCUAGUUGGUAAGGUAACGGCUUACCAAGGCAACGAUGCGUAGCCGACCUGAGAGGGUGAUCGGCCACACUGGAACUGAGACACGGUCCAGACGCCUACGGGAGGCAGCAGUAGGGAAUCUUCCGCAAUGGGCGAAAGCCUGACGGAGCAACGCCGCGUGAGUGAAGAAGGUCUUCGGAUCGUAAAACUCUGUUAUUAGGGAAGAACAAAUGUGUAAGUAACUAUGCACGUCUUGACGGUACCUAAUCAGAAAGCCACGGCUAACUACGUG
rnacentral:rRNA from 1 species